CAGAAAAUAGGGAUACAAUUUGUUUGCUGAAAUAUUGUCAGGGGAAAUAUUUCUCUCAUCGAUAUUUCUCCCAAACUGUUGCCUAUAUGGUUGAUAGACCCUGACACUACAGUUACAGAGGGUGAGUGCUGCAGAUGGGCAGAUGAGGAGUGUACCUGUCUGCCUUCAAGGCUCAGAGACCUGGCUGAUGGCCUAAUGCUGGGAGGCAUGUGGAGGAAACGGACAGCAGAGAGGGCGUUGGUGAAGUGUUAUGAAGCUAGAGCACACCCAUUGUCUCAUCCCAUAUAAGUUAAUAAGUCCCUUUCCAUCCUCUGAAAUGGCAGUGAAGCGCUGAAAGAAACAGCUCAAGUGGAACAGCGUGGAGCCGAG